rnacentral:rRNA from 1 species
GGGGGGGCCCCGGGUCAUUUAAAUAUUUAUACAAAUUUUUAUUAUAAAAUUAAUUUUAUAGUGAAAUAUAAAUUAAUUAAAAAUUUAAAUUUAAAGUAUAAAAAAAAUUUAUAAAUUAAAUAAUAAACUAGGAUUAGAGACCCUAUUAUUUUAGAAACUAUAACAACUUAAAUAUUAAAUAUUAAAUUAUGAAAUUUAAAAAAUUUGACGGUAUUUUUUUUUAUUAGAGAAACUUGUUAUAUAAUUGAUAAUCCACAAAAAAAUAAACUUAAAAUAUAAACUUAAAUAUUAUUGUUUAGAAUUAACUCUAAAGUUAAAAUCAUAAUUUUUAGCUAAAAUAAAAUUCAAAUCAAAAUUUAGUUUGUUUAAGAAUUUAAAAUGAGUUACUUUAAAAUUUAAUAUAUAUAUAUAUAAUUUUUUUAAAAAAAUAAUAUUUAGAAUUUAAUUGUAAAUUUUUUAAUAUUUAAAAAAUUUAAUAAAAAUUUAAAAUAUGUACAAAUCGCCCGUCAUUCUUAAUAAUCUAAGACAAGUCGUAACAAAGUAAAUUUACUGGAAAGUAAAUUUAGAACUGG